rnacentral:rRNA from 1 species
AGAGUUGACCCUGGCUCAGGAUGAACGCUGGCGGCGUGCCUAACACAUGCAAGUCGAGCGAGAAAUUAUGGACAAAGCUUCGGCAGAGUGAUAAAUGGAAAGCGGCGGACGGGUGAGUAACGCGUAGGCAACCUGCCCCAUACACAGGGAUAGCCUCGGGAAACCGGGAUUAAAACCUGAUAAAGCGAAUAAGACACAUGUCUUAAACGCCAAAGAUUUAUCGGUAUGGGAUGGGCCUGCGUCUGAUUAGCUAGUUGGUGAGGUAACGGCUCACCAAGGCAACGAUCAGUAGCCGACCUGAGAGGGUAAUCGGCCACAUUGGAACUGAGACACGGUCCAAACUCCUACGGGAGGCAGCAGUGGGGAAUAUUGCACAAUGGGCGAAAGCCUGAUGCAGCAACGCCGCGUGAGCGAAGAAGGCCUUUGGGUCGUAAAGCUCUGUCCUUGGGGAAGAAACAAAUGACGGUACCCCUGGAGGAAGCCCCGGCUAACUACGUGCCAGCCGCCGC